rnacentral:sRNA from 1 species
UCUGGAGAAUGUUUCUUUCCUUCUUUUUCAGCACUUGCUUGGGUUUCCUCCCAAAGGUUCACAUUCAGACCAUAGGGAUCCUCGUAUCAGAGAAAGCUGAGUUACAGACAGCCCUGGCUCACACUCAGCAUGCUGCCAGGCAGAAAGAAGGAGAGUCCGAAGAUCUGGCCAGCCGCCUGCAGUAUUCCCGGCGGCGUGUGGGAGAGUUGGAGCGGGCUCUCUCUGCUGUCUCCACGCAGCAGAAGAAGGCAGACAGGUACAACAAGGAGUUAACCAAAGAGAGAGACGCCCUCAGGCUGGAGUUAUACAAGAACACCCAAAGCAAUGAGGACCUGAAGCAAGAGAAAUCAGAAUUGGAAGAGAAGCUUCGGGUCCUAGUGACUGAGAAGGCUGGCAUGCAGCUUAACUUGGAAGAAUUGCAAAAGAAGUUAGAGAUGACGGAACUCCUGCUUCAACAGUUUUCAAGCCGGUGUGAAGCCCCUGAUGCUAACCAGCAGUUACAGCAGGCCAUGGAGGAGCGGGCACAGCUGG